rnacentral:misc_RNA from 1 species
CGCACAUUGCGCCUGCUGGUAUUCCGGUAGGCAUGCCUGUUCGAGCGUCAGCAAAACCUCUCAGCUAUAAUUUUUUAUUUCUGGUUAUGGGCUGCGGAGGACUAGUCUUUACGGGCUGCUCCCGCCUUAAACUUGCUGCACGACCGCAAGCUUAUGCUAGGUUAAUGAAGUGGUAUUUACAUAUAUUUCAGCGACUGUUCAUAGCUUGGUGGCGUUAAAUUUGAUGUUGCCCUUACCGGUGAUUUUGAUUUUUGACCUCGAAUCAGACAAGGAUACCCGCUGAACUUAA